AUACAACAUCCUGGGAGGAAACCCCAGAAGCACCAAUGCAGCCACCUGCACCCGUAGACACUACGAGAAGCUGCUUCUUGCAUAUGAGUGUCACGUAAAAGGAGAAAACUACAUGGAGGUCCUGCCACAGCACCAGCAGAAGCGUUUACAUUACAGUAGUCUCUGUGAGGAGGAUGAGUGCCCCAGGACAGCUAAACGUAUCAUGACAUACGGCGAUCUCCAGACAUCCCAGCAACAGAACCCCCAUAACGUCCUGAUAGACUCCAGAGUGAGGAUCAUCCCUAUGCAUGUACACUACCGUCAGAACUAUCACCACCCUGG